rnacentral:tRNA from 1 species
ACUUAAAUAGCUUAUAUAGAGCAUAAUAUUGAAGAUAUUAAGGAAAUUGUUGAAUUUUUAAGUA